rnacentral:rRNA from 1 species
CUACGGGCGGCAGCAGUGGGGAAUCUUAGACAAUGGGCGCAAGCCUGAUCUAGCCAUGCCGCGUGAGUGACGAAGGCCUUAGGGUCGUAAAGCUCUUUCGCUGGAGAAGAUAAUGACGGUAUCCAGUAAAGAAACCCCGGCUAACUCCGUGCCAGCAGCCGCGGUAAUACGGAGGGGGUUAGCGUUGUUCGGAAUUACUGGGCGUAAAGCGCGCGUAGGCGGACCAGAAAGUUGGGGGUGAAAUCCCGGGGCUCAACCUCGGAACUGCCUCCAAAACUCCUGGUCUUGAGUUCGAGAGAGGUGAGUGGAAUUCCGAGUGUAGAGGUGAAAUUCGUAGAUAUUCGGAGGAACACCAGUGGCGAAGGCGGCUCACUGGCUCGAUACUGACGCUGAGGUGCGAAAGCGUGGGGAGCAAACAGGAUUAGAUACCCGAGUAGUC